rnacentral:misc_RNA from 1 species
AAGUCGUAACAAGGUUUCCGUAGGUGAACCUGCGGAAGGAUCAUUAAUACGCUUUUGUUUGUAACAAAACAAAACGUUUUAAACUCCAAAAGAAAUCGUGGAAAUACAACUUCCGGAUGCGAAUGUUGGGAACUGAGUAAAAUUGGUUCUUUGAAAAGAGACUUCAAGCAAUCGACACUUCAGAGUAGAGCAGUGAGGUGAAAUUCUCUUUACUGAGAGUUUGGUUCUGAAAAACAUUUGUAUCCGGUUAUCAUAGUCUGUUCUACAAACUCCAAAACAUCAAACAAUAAACCCCAUGUACAACAACUUGAACUAAACAUUUUUUUGUUGUUCUUUUUGCACUUGUGUGAGAAGAUCUACAAAGAAAAAACUGAACUUAAGAACAACUCUUAACAACGGAUAUCUUGGUUCUC